CCAUUUAAUUAAUAUAACAUUUUUCCGAACAGUAGCUAGUUGUAUAUCGUUAAAUGUGUAACGGCCUUGUAUAUACAACUAUAUGAUUACACGAAAUGUUAUGUCGUUAUAUACUAUUUAAUGACGUUUAUGUAUAAGUAAGAUUUUGACGUAUCGACUUUCGAUUUUGUCUUAUCCUUUUUUUUUUCAGGACCCGUCUUAGAUAUGUUGGGUUUCGUCACCCGUGACGGGUGUAGAAGGAAAAAAGAGCAAAGAGAGGGGGAAAAAAGAAAGAGACCUGUCUCUACCCGGAAUCUGGCAAGUUGGUAUGCCGGCCGGGUGUCAGGGCGUGGCGGGGUCUAAGCCUAUUCCCUCUCCGUUGCCCUGGUUGACGGGGGUUAGGGCUAGGUUUGCUGCCGGCGGGAACACGAAGGUGGCGGCUGGUACGACGGCCUUCGGCGCGUAGGAGGCCUUGUUCCAGCAGACGGCCUGGCAAUACAGCACGCGGCAGCGUCGGCCGGUGCGCACCCUCCUCGCAACUCGACAGCGGUAAUGGCUUCGGCCAGCUCGCGGCCACAGCGUUAGCAAGACUCCCCUCGGCGCACUCGCCUCGCUGGAGCGCCUCGGCUCCCGACACCGGGCUCUUGCGGAGACGUACGCGUAGACGAGGGAUACCGCAACGGAGUACCUCAGCUUAAGCUCCUGGCCGACUUCCGGUGACGCGAGGAGGCAGCGGCGAGAUGCUCUUCUAUCCGGCUCCCGACACGGACUGUCCACGUUGCCGGAGUAGAAGGUCACGUUCUACGUACGUACGGUUUCGUAGGAGCGGAAACGGCAGUUUCCGGCCACAUGUCGGCGCAAGCUACGUUAGACAUCCCGACGCAAGGGCUAGAGCAACGAGUAGCGUGACCGCACGUCUGGGUGGCGGCACAUGCCAGCAGGGACGGCGGCGUCUCUACAGCGGUAGGCGCGGCCCGCGGCCCCAACUGACGAACGCCAAAGGGCGACGUCGCGCGGCGUGGCUUCCCACGGCAACAUCGCAUAGCGCACGGUGCGCGGUCCUCUACGGCGCCGACAAGGAUUCCCGGGCUGCAGCGCCCGUCGGUGCGGCCUCCAGCGGCCCUAUCCGGGCUCGCGGCGGGCAGAACGGACCGGCUACUUUAACGAGGCGGCCACACGCACUAGCUUCCUUAGUUCGCAGCGGGUUAAGCGAGAGCACCAUCUCAGAUAGUACACGACUAUUGCACUACACUUUGUUCCUUCUGUUUACUUAGAGAUAAGGAAAGUAACUACUAGAGACAUGUAAUAUAUAGGGACUUCCCUGCGCUUGCUUACCU
rnacentral:rRNA from 1 species